rnacentral:tRNA from 1 species
GGGGUUGUGGCUCAGCGGUAGAGCGAUCACCCAGCAUGUGCUUGGUACUGGGUUCAAUCCUCAGCACCACA